AUCCUUUUGUAGUUCAUAAGUGUAAUGAUUGGGUUUUCGUGUUCCUUUGUGAGAUAUACCGCCCUCAAACUUUGUUAGAACAUCAGCACAUUACCCAUCUGAUG
rfam:Pan troglodytes isolate Yerkes chimp pedigree #C0471 (Clint) chromosome 16, whole genome shotgun sequence.